rnacentral:rRNA from 1 species
UACGAAGGGUGCUAGCGUUGUUCGGAAUCACUGGGCGUAAAGCGUACGUAGGCGGUUUAGUAAGUUGGCUGUGAAAGCCCCAGGCUCAACCUGGGAAUGGCGGCCAAAACUACUUUGCUGGAGUAUAGUGGGGGAUAGUGGAAUUCCUAGUGUAGGGGUGAAAUCCGUAGAUAUUAGGAGGAACACCAGUGGCGAAGGCGACUAUCUACGCUAUUACUGACGCUGAGGUACGAAAGCGUGGGGAGCAAACAGG